ensembl:rRNA 5S_rRNA 5S ribosomal RNA
GCUGACGGCCAUACCACCCUGAGCGCGCCCGAUCUCGUCUGAUCUCGGAAGCUAAGCAGGGUCGGGCCUGGUUAGUACUUGGAUGGGAGACCGCCUGGGAAUACCAGGUGCUGUAAGCU